UUGAAUGAAAGCCCAAAGCUGCAGAGACCCAGACAGUCUGACAAAAUGAACGGUGCCUCAUUUACCUGAAAACCAUGAGGAAAAAAGGCAAGGCAAGGAAAACUUCCAACACUCUACAGUGCCAUCAGAGCAGUGAUGCUUUGAAUGAAAUCCAAGGCUUUAAACCACCCAAUCUUACAAGGUAUCAGGAAGGUGCUUCAUUUACCUGACAACAAUAAGGAUAAAAUAAAGAAGGAAAAGAAAAUCUUGUAACACCUCAUAGUCCCUUCAUCAGGCACCAUUCAAGAGGAAAAGGUGGAGUUGGUAGGAUGCAGAAUACAGAAUUUCCGAGCUAAGAGGCAAGACCUGUGUCUGAAAAUACAAAUAUGGUGUGGAAAGUAAAGCCAAAAUAUUAGACUGGGAAGGUCACUUAGAAACAAGAAUAUCUGAAC